rnacentral:rRNA from 1 species
GGAGUCUGGUCCGUGUCUCAGUACCAGUGUGGGGGACCUUCCUCUCAGAACCCCUAACGAUCGUUGGCCAGGUGGGCCGUUACCCCGCCUGCUGCCUAAUCGUACGCAUCCCCAUCCAUCGGCGACCGAAGUCUUUCGUGAAAAUCAGAGGCCUUCUUCUCACAACAUCAGGUAUUAGGCUCCCUUUCGGGAGUUUAUCCCUGACCCAUGGGCAGGUUGGAUACGCGUUACUCACCCGUGCGCCGGUCGUCAUCAAGAGUUGCAAGCAACUCCCAUGCUGCCCCUCGACUUGCAUGUGUUAAGCCUGUAGCUAGCGUUCAUC